UCCAGCAAUGUGUGCACCUGGUGGGCAGGGGGAGGCUGUGCCUGCACUAACAUGUAAGCAUGGGUGAACUGAUGCUUGGCCUCGUUCAGCCAAUUCAGGAAGGAUGUAAGCUUCACUAGAGAUUCACAUACACCUAAAGUGAGGCACGUACCUGGGUCUGAUGGUGUCAUGGGCAUCUGCAGGCUGGUUUCUGUGCUUGUGCCAAAUCUCACAGCUCAUCAUGCAGUUCUGCAGGGCGCUGUUUGCACACCUAGCCCCUUCACUGAGUUCCUGCAAGCUUCUAGAGAACCGUCGCCUUCAGAUAUCUCCUCCAUCUGAAAGCAUCUCAGGAUACUGCUGCCUCAGGUAAUGCUGCUACACAAAAUCAGAGUGUCCCUGUACUGCUGAUGAAACUUUCCCUGUUGUAUUCCACUGGGAGCUGUUAGCAGUGCUGUGUGACAUCCAGAGAGAAGGCACGUUUAGCACAACAGCAAGCACUCUGGUUUAAGAAAAAACACACAUGAAGAGGAAGUCUCAUUAUGUCUGAAAGCUUCUAUCAAGAAAUACAGAUCAGAGUCCUCAAUAUGACAAAGUCAGUGAAUUUCUGGAGACAAAGACCCAACAGAUAACUUGAGAAACAUGGACAUAUGAAAUAUUAAAAAACCAGCCUUGACAAAAAUGCACUUUGAAGGUAAUAUUACACUGCAAAAGCUCAGAAAAUAUUUAUAAACAGAGCAAUGAAAGAGAUCCGAAGAUAGACGCUGAUUACGUGUGUAAAAAAAAGACUGCAUUGGGUCAGGACAAAAAUGCAGAAAACCUGUCAAAAUCUGACAAUCAUCCACAGCAUAUGUUUGGGGAAGAAGCAUACGGACAAGGCAAACAACUGUAAGGAUGCAACUAUGUUCACAGAUAAGAUUUGUCUGCUGUUGUUUAUCCUAUCUUCACUGAAGCACUGUUUUUGUUACUGAGAGAAAUGCAAGAGAGGAGCACAUUAUAGCAUUCAUAGCAUUCAAAAGGUAAGAUAUUUGAGUUAUUUAUACCUUUGAAACAAGGAGGGGUUGUUUCAAAUUUUACUCCCUGAAGCAAUGUCACUGUAAGUAUGAUUUUUUCUCUCUUUCUGAAGAACAUAAUUACAUCCUCUGUAAUACUGUUGCACUGAUGACCUGCAGUACUCAGGCAGAACUAUGCCUCAGAGCAGAGGGGUGUCCCGUCUGGAAGUGCUCAAGGGAGAUGUGAGAAGGUACAAGGUGUGACUGGUUCUGUGGUAUGGACACGUUCACUGGGAACUGGGCUCUUGUAAUGGUUUUGGAAAGCAGCAGGUGGUGGAUAGUUAUACCCAGAACUGAACCAUUUCAUGUUUACACAGUUCUAUGACUAGUGUUCUCAGCAAUAAGGAACUGCUGUUCUUGUAAUAAGCUUCAUCAUGAACUUUGAAAUGAGUAGGAACCAUUAGGACUUUGACUUGGUAUAGCUCAUCUUCCUUAGUUCUGUUGUUGUCAGUAUUCAGCAUAAUUAAGUUAAAACAAGUUUGGAAACAUCCCUUGAGUCUUAGAACGACUUCUAGAGAGGACAAUGGAGAUGUGCCCUGUGCUUAUAACAUCACCAAGACACUCAGAAUUAAUGUAUUCCCUUUUCUCAGGAGUUACUUAAUUUUUUUUUUAUUUUAAUGUGAUCACAUACAUAUAAAAGGAGUUUUAGGAGGACACAGUUUGAUUUUGUACUGUGAUAGUAGAUAUUUCAGUGCUGCACCCAAAAGUAAAUAUUUUUGUGUUUUUACCCAGACCUUCUGUUUUUUUUCUGGCAUGUCUCUGUUAGCUUGGAUAAUUCUCAAGAGAAAGGAUAAGACAGUAGUCAACCAUAUCAUCAGAAAGAAGCAGAUUGCAGGUGGUCCUCCAGAGAAUCCUGGCAAGGGAGCUGGCAGAGAUCUAACCAUUAGAUCUGACCUGUAUUGCUACCUUCCAGGUUGUCUCAUCCCUGGCUCCCUGACUUCUUGCCUGCCAUUCUGAACCUUUCAGAACGUUCAAGACAACAUUACACACGAUGUGCACUCACUGCUUCCUUGCUUUCUCAUAGACAUCCAACACCAAAUGGGUGGAGACAUCAGGGCCAUCACACCCACCCUCCAGAAGUGGCUAGCCUGCUUGGUAAGGGGUGUGAUACGCUACUAAGGCAUCUCCUUGUAUUGGGUAGACUGGAGCUUCCUACCUUUGAGAUGGUUUGAAUUUUCUGCUCUAAUCUCUACCUAUGAAGAACAUGUCCCAAAUGUACUGAAGUGAAAUGAAAUGAAAUAGUGUAGUUGUUCAACACUACGUAAGAAAUGCAUGGAGUAAUAAGAGCUUACACUCUGAAGCUAAGAAUUGGCUCAGAGAUGGAUAAAAAUCACCAUGAUGUAUUCCUGUUGUUUUCAGUCAAGAUAAAUUCUUCUGCUUAUUCACAGACUAUUUUAAAAUCUACCUUUACUUUUCUUCUUCUACCAGUUUUAUUCAAAUGUAAAUCUGUUGACUUUAGCAGAGUUCUGAUAUUUGUCUCAUUUCCUCAGUGUAUUUUUCCAGUCUUAUGCAUGACUUUUCCUUCUGAAACACCCAACCCACCAAGGUCUACGAUAUACAAACUGAAGCACCUUCAAAUUGCUGAAUGGAGGCUGAGGGGGCAUUACUGUACACUGACUUUGUCUUAGUCCCUUUUGUAGGCCUCUGCUGUCAGAUGGAAUAUUGAACUGGGUGUACCCAUCUACGUGCACGGGGAACUAUUUAUUGUAUUCUUCUGAUUGCUACUCUACAGUUAGAGUAUUGAAAUCCUCUUUUAAGGGGACUAACACACGGAGCUAUUUUUAGAGCUCAGAAAUAAAAACACGAAUAAAAAAAUUC